CUCUAUGUUUAUAUAAACAUGAUAUCAUUAUUUUAUAUGUGUAAUCAAUAAGGAUCAACCGUGGUACGACAACCGUUGUUUACCUUAAUUAAAACAACUACCCCAACCCUUCACCACGACAACAUCAUUUGGCGCAGUCGAUUUGGCAAUUAAAAAUAAGGUAAUGUAGCAGUUUACAAGAAGCAAAACUACACCUAUGUACCACCAACACCUCCCAACGAUCUGAUUGCAAGCACGAGUUAUACACUGGACUUCAACGAACGCAAGUUUAUACAAAUAGGACUUUACCCAACAAAUUAAUUUAAUGUAAUGGUAAAUAUUAUUAUGCCAUCUCAGUAUGUGAGUAUAACUGUGAAUUACUAAAAGAGAGUUUACUCGUUAAUGAGAUACAUAUUUUCAAACAUCCUAGAGAAUUCCGAAAAAAAUGCCAACAUUUCAUUUCUCUCUGACAACCACAUUAUUCUUUCUAAAAUGGUGUAUAAGAGAGAAAAUGUUCGAAUAAUAGAAUCACAAUCACGAAGUGGAUGUCGCAUCUUGUUAAAUCAACAGAAUCUAUUAAUAAUGGCUGAUUCAGAAUGGAUUAUAUACGGUUUUAUUGCAAGGCAUACGAAUAUCACUAUCGAUAAAGUAAUGAAGCAAAUCGAAAUAAUGAUCAAAUAUUAUGAAAGCAGAUUUUUGCCUACUUUCGAAAUAACUAAGUCAAAGUUGACAUACAUCAAUAAGGUUUCAAAUGUCACUAUAACUACAGUCUACAGCAAUAGAAUCAUUGAACGAAACCAAUUUUAUUAGUGAAAUAAAACGAUUUGCUGCUGAAUAAUUGACUGAUAUGUGGAUGAAAAAAUUAAGCAUGCGAAUUGAUACGGUAAAGAUUUUUUUCAAAAGUUCCUAAACUCUAUAGAAGUAUUUAGUACAUUUUUGAAGGGCGAAUAUAGUGUGAGUAGUGAAUGGGACGUAAGUAGCAAAGUUCUGUUCACUGGUUGUUGUAACGCGUAAAAGUUGUUAUCGGCGGUUGGCGUUUCCUCAUUUCCGCGCGCUCCAUAAUCAAUUUUUAAUCUCUUUGCUUUUGUUUUCCGUUCCUUUUAUCAUUAUCCGUCUCAUAACCUAAUAUUGCUAAUACUUGUGUAUACUCACAUGCUUAACAAAAUUAAUAAAAUUUUCUCUUUUUCGUCGUACUAAAAUUCUCAAUUUUCAUUUUCUUUUGUUUUUGUUUGGUGUUUUGCCAUUGCGGUAGCCAAUCAUUGUAAAGAACAGUGAA